AUCUUUUUUAAAUGACUUUAAACACCCAAUAAAGAUACUAAAGCAAACACAAACAUGAUCAGUUGGUUUUCAAUUAAAUAUUUUUCAAUUUUGUAGCCUAUUAAUGACAUGUAUUUAAGGUGUUGUCACUGUGGCACACCAAAGACAGUAGUGUCAGUUCACUGCUAAAAUUUAAAUGAUUUAUUAUUAUUAUACUAUUAUUCUCUCUUUACAUUUAACCUGAACAGCUGGCCCAUUUCAACUGGACAUUGUAAAAAUAGGUCAAGAGGGAACCUGCUGAGACUUUAACUCUCAUAAUUCCAAUACAAUUAUGCUUUUUCAUAUGCCAGCUUAUAAAAAUAUCAUUAGAUCUCGGGCAUACCUUAUUUGAUGGUCAUAUAAAGUCAUUUAACAAAAGGUGGCCCAUUUUAGCUGACUCCACCCUACAUUUUUAAGUUUGAAAUCACUUAACACUCGGAGCUGCAGCACUUUGCUGGUUCUAUUUUUUUAUUUACCAUUAUUUGUUUGUAUUAUCUGUAGCUGUUAGUGUCUGCAUCAUCACAGAUUUGCUGACAAUGAGAAUAGAAAUCGGCGAUUAAGAUAACUUUGGAUGCCGACGGCACUGUAAGGCAUAUUUUUAUACUUCUACAAGAGGCCAGCAGAGGGCAGUGUCGUUCCACAUUUCAACAUUUGAAUCUCUCCAACAACUACGCUAAUUCUAAACUUUAGAUAAUUAUUCCAUUACUCUUCCAUUAUGUCUUUAAAUGUUUUAUGUCUUUUGUUUUCUGCCAUGCCAUGAUGCAUCUCAUUAUGCCCUCUGGAUAUCAAAUCAAAACAUCCCCAAACCAACAGUAGACUGGAUGUUUUAGGAAAGUCCAAUACUUGUCCCUCAAGGCCUCUGGCAGACUCCGAACUGAACUGAACUCCGCCUCAACACCUUCAAGGCUUUUGAACAGCAUGACCCUGUCUCUACUGUCCUCUGCUACCACCACCCAACUCUACCACCUGACCCACACCACUAGGACCUCUAAGACAGCUGAGUCUCUCUCAGGCCUGACCACAUAAUGACAGACCUGCUGUAUAUUAAAAGGACCCUGCCCAUGCAUCCUAUCCCUGUCACCUCCCUCUUCGUGGGCCUUUAUAAGGCCCUCACAUGGGCGGGGGGGCACUACUUUCCUAAGAGGAACUGUGCACAGACAUCUGGAAGGCUUGCUAGUUCCUAAAGCCACCUAUUCACCCACAGCCAGGGAUCUCCUGUC